UGGGGAAUAUUGCACAAUGGGCGGAAGCCUGAUGCAGCGACGCCGCGUGGGGGAUGAAGGCCUUCGGGUUGUAAACUCCUUUCGACAGGGACGAAGCUUUUGUGACGGUACCUGUAUAAGAAGCACCGGCUAACUACGUGCCAGCAGCCGCGGUAAUACGUAGGGUGCGAGCGUUGUACGGAAUUACUGGGCGUAAAGAGCUCGUAGGUGGUUUGUCGCGUCGUCUGUGAAAUUCCGGGGCUUAACUCCGGGCGUGCAGGCGAUACGGGCUGACUUGAGUGUUGUAGGGGAGACUGGAAUUCCUGGUGUAGCGGUGAAAUGCGCAGAUAUCAGGAGGAACACCGAUGGCGAAGGCAGGUCUCUGGGCAGUAACUGACGCUGAGGAGCGAAAGCAUGGGUAGCGAACAGG
rnacentral:rRNA from 1 species